GUGCAAAACGUUCUGCCAAAGGAAAAUUGUUCCAAAAUGGUGAUGUUAACAAAUCUGGUGAUGAGUAUGAUGUGGUGAAAGCGUCCAUCAAGUACGUGCGUGCGCAUGAGCAUUUACAAAAACAUGCCAAAACAGAAAUUUUCAAUGAUGGCAUGGAAGAAGGUCUCACUGUGCGGAGAGCUUGUCAGAUUAUUAACCAUGAGUGGCUAAGUGGCGACGUAAUUGAUGCAUACUCAUCAUUUUUGGUCGACAAAGUUAAUGAUGAUCGUUUCAUGUUAACAACUUGGAGGAUACAUUGGUUGCUUCACGUUAGACCCGGAAAGAAGACCGCCG